GAUGAACGCUGGCGGCGUGCCUAAUACAUGCGAGUCGAGCGAACAGACGAGGAGCUUGCUCCUCUGACGUUAGCGGCGGACGGGUGAGUAACACGUGGAUAACCUACCUAUAAGACUGGGAUAACUUCGGGAAACCGGAGCUAAUACCGGAUAAUAUAUUGAACCGCAUGGUUCAAUAGUGAAAGACGGUUUUGCUGUCACUUAUAGAUGGAUCCGCGCCGCAUUAGCUAGUUGGUAAGGUAACGGCUUACCAAGGCAACGAUGCGUAGCCGACCUGAGAGGGUGAUCGGCCACACUGGAACUGAGACACGGUCCAGACGCCUACGGGAGGCAGCAGUAGGGAAUCUUCCGCAAUGGGCGAAAGCCUGACGGAGCAACGCCGCGUGAGUGAUGAAGGUCUUCGGAUCGUAAAACUCUGUUAUUAGGGAAGAACAAAUGUGUAAGUAACUAUGCACGUCUUGACGGUACCUAAUCAGAAAGCCAUGGCUAACUACGUGCCAGCCGCCGCAGUAAGAC
rnacentral:rRNA from 1 species